rfam:Arabis alpina cultivar Pajares scaff_40079_1_contig_6, whole genome shotgun sequence.
AACCCGUGGUGAGGACAAUCUCUCUUAUAUCCUUUGAACCUUUCCCACGAAGCCUUGAAUGCUUUCAUUGGAUCCUGAACAAAUGUGGAGAUCUUAGCUCGUAGAU